rnacentral:rRNA from 1 species
GUAGGUGGCAAGCGUUGUCCGGAAUUAUUGGGCGUAAAGCGCGCGCAGGCGGUUCUUUAAGUCUGAUGUGAAAGCCCACGGCUCAACCGUGGAGGGUCAUUGGAAACUGGAGAACUUGAGUACAGAAGAGGAAAGCGGAAUUCCACGUGUAGCGGUGAAAUGCGUAGAGAUGUGGAGGAACACCAGUGGCGAAGGCGGCUUACUGGUCUGUAACUGACGCUGAGGCGCGAAAGCGUGGGGAGCAAACAGGAUUAGAUACCCUGGUAGUCCACGCCGUAAACGAUGAGUGCUAAGUGUUAGGGGGGCUUCCGCCCCUUAGUGCUGCAGCUAACGCAUUAAGCACUCCGCCUGGGAGUACGGCCGCAAGGCUG